GGAAAGGAGGGUACCAUGCAGAGCGGGCAAAGGGGGAAAAUGGGUACAACUGUAAUAACAUAAUCAAUAAAAUAUACUUAAAGAGUAAAUCACCAGAAACACAAAGAAAAAAGACAUCAUUAAGUAAGAAGUAAUAUAGAUAACAGGUAACACAAACAGAUCCAUUAGCUUUGAAUUAUCAGAAACAGACUAUUAAACCACGAUGCCUGGCAUAUUCAGAUAAAUAAAAUCCAGUCUUGAAAAUUCAACAGGGAAUUAGAAACCAAAAAAAAAAAAAAAGUGAAUAAAACAAAUGGAAAUUCUAAAACUAAAAAAUAACUUAGCUGAAAUUAGAAGUUCAAUGGAUGGCUUUAACAGCAAAUUAAAUAUAGCUCAAGAGAAAAUUAAAAAAUUUGAAAUUAUAUUCAGAACAAACUAUUCAUAAGGCUGAGCAGGUAGUCAAAAAGAUGGGAAAUUGAGACUGGAGGGUAUAAUAAAGCCUAAAUGUUUUUUUUUUAAUUGAAUUUAUUGGGGAAACAUUGUCUAAUAAAAAUUAUGUAGGUUCCAGGUAUACAAUUCUAUAAUAUAUCAUUUGUAUAUUGUAUUGUGUGUUCACCACUCAAGGUCUAACAUAUGUUUAAUUGGAGUUCUGACAGUAAAAGAGAAAUGGAAUUGGUCAGAGGCAAUAUUUGAAGAUAGUAUGGCUCAGGAUUUUUUCAGAACUGAUGACAGAUAUUGAUCCAUAGAUCCAAGAAGUCCAACAUAUCCCAAGCAGAAUAAGAAAAAACAACUUAGGCCUAGAUGCAUAAUACUGAAAUUGCAUAGAAUCGAAGACAAAUAGAAAAUCAUAUAAGUAACCAGAAAGAAUAGAAUAUGGCUUGAAAAGAAAAAAACAUGUUUAGCUGAUUUCUUGCUUCUCAACAGCAACAAUGGAAACAUGAAGAUGGUAGAAAAAUAUCAUUUGUGUCUUGAAAGAAAAUAAAUGCCAAGCAAGGAAUUGAUAACCAGCAAAAACACUCUUCAGAAAUGAAUGGGAAAUUUAUAGAACAUUCUGUCCAAUAUUGGAAUACAUUUUUUUUCAAGCUCACAUAGAACAUUCAUCAAGAGAGUCCAUAUUCUGGGUCAUAAAAUACACCUUAGCAAAUUUAAAAGAAUAGAAAUCAUAAAAUAAUGCUCUUAAUAUAAUUAAACUAGAAAUCAAUAACAGAUAGAUGGAAAACCGAAAUAUUUGGAAAUUAAGCAGCACACUUUUAAUAACAUGUGAGUGAAAGAAUAAUUCUCAAGAGAAAUGUAAAACUAUUUUGAACUAAAU